AUAAACGCUGGCGGCGCACAUAAGACAUGCAAGUUGCACGGACUUAAUCGAAAUAUUUAUAUUUUGAAGCGGUUAGUGGCGGACUGGUGAGUAACGCGUAAGGAACCUGCCUAUUAGAGGGGAAUAACAGUGAGAAAUCAUUGCUAAUACCGCAUAUGCCAUAGAUAUCACAUGAUAACAGUGGGAAAGGAGCAAUCCGCUAAUAGAUGGCCUUGCGUCUGAUUAGAUAGUUGGUGGGGUAACGGCCUACCAAGUCGACGAUCAGUAGCCGGACUGAGAGGUUGAACGGCCACAUUGGGACUGAGAUACGGCCCAGACUCCUACGGGAGGCAGCAGUCGGGAAUAUUGCGCAAUGGAGGAAACUCUGACGCAGUGACGCCGCGUAUAGGAAGAAGGUUUUCGGAUUGUAAACUAUUGUCGUUAGGGAAGAGAAAGGACAGUACCUAAGGAGGAAGCUCCGGCUAACUACGUG
rnacentral:rRNA from 1 species